CCUACGGGAGGCAGCAGUAGGGAAUCUUUCACAAUGGGCGAAAGCCUGAUGGAGCAACGCCGCGUGCAGGAUGAAGGCCUUCGGGUUGUAAACUGCUUGUAUAAGCGAGAAAUAUGAUGGUAACUUAUGAAUAAGGAUCGGCUAACUACGUGCCAGCAGCCGCGGUCAUACGUAGGAUCCGAGCAUUAUCCGGGGUGACUGGGUGUAAAGAGUUGCGUAGGUGGCAUAAUAAGUAGCUAGUGAAAUCUGGUGGCUCAACCAUUCAGACUAUUAGCUAAACUGUUAAGCUCGAGACCGUUAGGGGUAACUGGAAUUUCUAGUGUAGGAGUGAAAUCCGUAGAUAUUAGAAGGAACACCAAUAGCGUAGGCAGGUUGCUGGGACGGUUCUGACACUAAGGCACGAAAGCGUAGGGAGCAAACGGGAUUAGAUACCCUUGUAGUC
rnacentral:rRNA from 1 species